rnacentral:rRNA from 1 species
AGAGUUUCGUAUCCUGGCUCAGGACGACGCUGGCGGCGUGCUUACACAUGCAAGUCGACGGAAAGGCCCUGCUUUUGUGGGGUGCUCGAGUGGCGAACGGGUGAGUAACACGUGAGUAACCUGCCCUUGACUUUGGGAUAACUUCAGGAAACUGGGGCUAAUACCGGAUAGGAGCUCCUGCUGCAUGGUGGGGGUUGGAAAGUUUCGGCGGUUGGGGAUGGACUCGCGGCUUAUCAGCUUGUUGGUGGGGUAGUGGCUUACCAAGGCUUUGACGGGUAGCCGGCCUGAGAGGGUGACCGGCCACAUUGGGACUGAGAUACGGCCCAGACUCCUACGGGAGGCAGCAGUGGGGAAUAUUGCACAAUGGGCGGAAGCCUGAUGCAGCAACGCCGCGUGCGGGAUGACGGCCUUCGGGUUGUAAACCGCUUUCGCCUGUGACGAAAGCGUGAGUGACGGUAAUGGGUAAAGAAGCACCGGCUAACUACGUG